AUGGCCAUGAGCGCGGCCACCGCCGCCACGCUCCUCCCGAGGUCCAGCACCGGCACGCCUCGCCUCGCCUCCACCUACCCCUCCUCGUCGGCAGCUCACGGGAGGAGCCGCCUCCUCCCCAUCAGAUGCCAGUCGCCCGGAGUUGACAAAACCACCAAGCCUAAGAGGAACUUGUUUGACAACGCCAGCAACCUUCUCACCAAUUUGCUCGCUGGCGGCAACCUCAAGAAUAUGCCGGUUGCCGAAGGUGCUGUCACUGACCUGUUCGACCGGCCCCUUUUCUAUUCGCUCUAUGAUUGGUUCCUCGAGCACGGUUCCGUCUACAAACUUGCUUUUGGACCCAAAUCAUUUGUUGUCGUCUCUGAUCCAAUUGUUGCUAGAUACAUCCUACGAGAAAAUGCUUUCUCUUAUGAUAAGGGAGUUCUCGCUGAAAUUCUAGAACCAAUAAUGGGGAAGGGUCUUAUACCUGCUGACCUUGAUACCUGGAAGCAAAGGAGAAAAGUUAUAACUCCUGGGUUCCAUGCCUUAUUCAUAGAAGCUAUGGUGAGAGUAUUUACCAAAUGUUCAGAGAGAACCAUAUUGAAACUUGAAGCACUUAUUGAAAAGGGAGACCAUGGUGACAAAUCUACCACAGUGAACCUUGAAGAGGAAUUCUCCAAUUUGGCUCUCGACAUAAUUGGCUUGGGAGUGUUCAAUUUUGAUUUUGACUCUGUUAAUAAGGAAUCUCCUGUAAUCAAGGCAGUAUAUGGUACUCUUUUUGAAGCUGAGCAUCGAUCCACCUUUUACAUCCCUUACUGGAAUCUUCCUUUAACUCAAUGGAUAGUGCCAAGACAGCGGAAGUUCCGCAGUGACCUCAAGGUUAUCAAUAAUUGCCUUGAUGAUCUUAUUAAAAAUGCAAAAGAAACAAGACAGGAAGCUGAUGUGGAAAAACUCCAGCAGAGAGACUACUCAUCAUUGAAGGAUGCCAGCUUACUGAGGUUCCUUGUUGACAUGCGGGGAGCUGAUGUUGACGACCGCCAGCUUCGAGAUGAUCUUAUGACAAUGCUUAUCGCCGGACAUGAAACAACUGCGGCUGUUCUGACAUGGUCUAUUUUUCUACUGGCCCAGAAUCCCACGAAGAUGAGAAAAGCCCAGGCAGAGAUUGAUUCUGUACUGAUCGAUGGGGUAAUCACUGCAGAAAAGCUCAAGAAAUUGGAGUACAUAAGAUUAAUCAUUGUUGAAGCUCUUCGCUUGUAUCCUCAACCCCCAUUGUUAAUCAGGCGUUCUCUCCGGCCUGAUAAAUUGCCAGGUGGGUACAACGGAGCGAAAGAGGGAUACGAAAUACCAGCAGGAACCGAUAUAUUUCUUUCGAUAUACAAUCUCCAUAGGUCCCCGUACUUUUGGGAUAGGCCAAAUGAGUUUGAACCAGAGAGGUUUACAGUCCCAAAGAAGGAUGAGAACAUAGAAGGGUGGGCUGGGUUUGAUCCUGACCGGAGUCCUGGCGCGAUGUAUCCGAACGAGAUUAUAGCAGACUUUGCUUUCCUCCCCUUCGGCGGAGGACCACGCAAAUGCGUGGGAGACCAAUUCGCGCUCCUGGAGUCAACAGUGGCCUUGGCCCUGCUAUUGCAAAAGUUUGACGUGGAGCUGCGAGGCUCGCCCGAUGAAGUAGAGAUGGUGACAGGCGCGACGAUUCACACAAAGAACGGGUUGUGGUGCAGGCUGAGGAAAAGGAGUUGA
rnacentral:rRNA from 1 species